GAUUUCAAGUUUGGACAAAUGAUCUCUAACCCAAUCUUCUACAACCAAGGACAAGUCUUCCUUUCUCCAGGCUUCCUCUCUUGUCUUCAGGGUCUGG